rnacentral:rRNA from 1 species
AGAGUUUGAUCCUGGCUCAGAUUGAACGCUGGCGGCGUGCCUAACACAUGCAAGUCGAGCGGUAACAGGUGUAGCAAUACAUGCUGACGAGCGGCGAACGGGUGAGUAAUGCUUCGGAAUCUACCUUAUGGUGGGGAAUAACUAGCCGAAAGGUUAGCUAAUACCGCAUACGUCCUACGGGAGAAAGCAGGGGAUCGUAAGACCUUGCGCCAAAAGAUGAGCCGAAGUCGGAUUAGCUAGUUGGUAGGGUAACGGCCUACCAAGGCGACGAUCCGUAGCUGGUCUGAGAGGACGACCAGCCACACUGGGACUGAGACACGGCCCAGACUCCUACGGGAGGCAGCAGUGGGGAAUAUUGGACAAUGGGGGAAACCCUGAUCCAGCGACGCCGCGUGUGUGAAGAAGGCCUGCGGGUUGUAAAGCACUUUUAGUGGGGAUGAAAUGUGCAGGGUUAAUACCUCUGCAUUUUGACCUAACCCACAGAAAAAGCACCGGCUAACUCUGUGCCAGCAGCCGCGGUAAUACAGAGGGUGCAAGCGUUAAUCGGAAUUACUGGGCGUAAAGCGUGCGUAGACGGUUACAUAAGUCGGGUGUGAAAGCCCCGGGCUCAACCUGGGAAUUGCAUUCGAGACUGCGUAGCUAGGGUGCGGAAGAGGGAAGCGGAAUUUCCGGUGUAGCGGUGAAAUGCGUAGAUAUCGGAAGGAACACCAGUGGCGAAAGCGGCUUCCUGGUCCAGCACCGACGUUCAGGCACGAAAGCGUGGGGAGCAAACAGGAUUAGAUACCCUAGUAGUCC